UAUCGACGACCUCGUGAAGGUAGCCACCCGGUGAUGGGUGGUACUGGGAAUCCGCAGCGCAAGCAAAGCGGAGCUGCCCCGCAGCGGUAGUUGGGAACGAGCUUCACCGAGUCACUGGUCUCCGGACCGGGAAGAGUUGAAGCGAGGAAGUCGCGCUAGCUCCGUUAGCCGCGAAGUGCCCAUGAGCCCGAAGACCGACCUUCACCCACCACGCACA
rnacentral:ncRNA from 2 species